UACGUAGGGUGCGAGCGUUGUCCGGAUUUAUUGGGCGUAAAGAGCUCGUAGGCGGUCUGUCGCGUCUGCUGUGAAAACUCGGGGCUUAACCCCGGGCCUGCAGUGGGUACGGGCAGACUAGAGUGCGGUAGGGGAGACUGGAAUUCCUGGUGUAGCGGUGAAAUGCGCAGAUAUCAGGAGGAACACCGGUGGCGAAGGCGGGUCUCUGGGCCGUAACUGACGCUGAGGUGCGAAAGCGUGGGGAGCAAACAGG
rnacentral:rRNA from 1 species